GACGAACGCUGGCGGCGUGCUUAACACAUGCAAGUCGAACGGUGACCUCGAGAGCUUGCUCUUGAGUGAUCAGUGGCGAACGGGUGAGUAACACGUGAGUAACCUGCCCCAGACUCUGGAAUAACCCCGGGAAACCGGAGCUAAUACCGGAUACGAAGUGGAGCCGCAUGGCUACUACUUGGAGAGUUUUUCGGUCUGGGAUGGACUCGCGGCCUAUCAGCUAGUUGGUGAGGUAAUGGCUCACCAAGGCGACGACGGGUAGCCGGCCUGAGAGGGCGACCGGCCACACUGGGACUGAGACACGGCCCAGACUCCUACGGGAGGCAGCAGUGGGGAAUAUUGCACAAUGGGCGAAAGCCUGAUGCAGCGACGCCGCGUGAGGGAUGACGGCCUUCGGGUUGUAAACCUCUUUCAGCAGGGAAGAAGCGAAAGUGACGGUACCUGCAGAAGAAGCACCGGCUAACUACGUGCCAGCCGCCGCAGUAACAC
rnacentral:rRNA from 1 species